CCUACGUGUGGCAGCAGUAGGGAAUUUUCGUCAAUGGGCGCAAGCCUGAACGAGCAAUGCCGCGUGAACGAGGAAGGUCUUCGGAUCGUAAAGUUCUGUUGAAGGGGAAAAAGAGCGGAGAGAGGAAAUGGUCUCCGAUUGAUAUUACCCUUCGAGGCAGUCACGGCUAACUACGUGCCAGCAGCCGCGGUAAUACGUAGGUGGCGAGCGUUAUCCGGAAUGAGUGGGCGUAAAGGGUGCGUAGGCGGCCUGCUAAGUCUGGAGUGAAAGGUACCGGCUCAACCGGUACAGGCUCUGGAAACUGGCGGGCUAGAGAGCAGGAGAGGGCGGUGGAACUCCAUGUGUAGCGGUAAAAUGCGUAGAUAUAGGGAAGAACACCAGUGGCGAAGGCGGCCGCCUGGCCUGUGACUGACGCUGAGGCACGAAAGCGUGGGGAGCAAAUAGGAUUAGAUACCCGAGUAGUC
rnacentral:rRNA from 1 species